rnacentral:rRNA from 1 species
GAUGAACGCUGGCGGCGUGCCUAAUACAUGCAAGUCGAGCGAACAGACGAGGAGCUUGUUCCUCUGACGUUAGCGGCGGACGGGUGAGUAACACGUGGAUAACCUACCUAUAAGACUGGGAUAACUUCGGGAAACCGGAGCUAAUACCGGAUAAUAUAUUGAACCGCAUGGUUCAAUAGUGAAAGACGGUUUUGCUGUCACUUAUAGAUGGAUCCGCGCCGCAUUAGCUAGUUGGUAAGGUAACGGCUUACCAAGGCAACGAUGCGAAGCCGACCUGAGAGGGUGAUCGGCCACACGGGAACUGAGACACGGUCCAGACUCCUACGGGAGGCAGCAGUAGGGAAUCUUCCGCAAUGGGGGAAAGCCUGACGGGGCAACGCCGCGUGAGUGAUGAAGGUCUUCGGAUCGUAAAACUCUGUUAUUAGGGAAGAACAAAUGUGUAAGUAACUAUGCACGUCUUGACGGUACCUAAUCAGAAAGCCACGGCUAACUACGUG